GGGUUCAAACUGUAGAACCCAGUUCCUACAAUUGAAAAUAAAAAUGGAUUGUAUCAAACAAAACUAUGCUACAUUUUAUCUCUGGGACCCUCAGAAUGACAAAUCAGAGCAAGAUUACUGAAUGUAAGUACAUUAUUUACCUUCAGAGGUGAAUGUACGAAACCAGUUUCCGUGAUAAGUUUUUUAGCAUGGUCUUUUUUCACUGUAAUGGCUACUGUAAAUUGGACAGUGCAGAUAGAUUAACAAUCAUUUAAGCUUUCUGCACAUAUAAGACAUGUCUAUGUCCUGGAAAGUUUGCUGUUACUAACAAGUCAUGCUAAUCACAUUAGCGCACGUUUACUCAACCAUCCCUGUUAGGGACACCGAUCCUGUAGAGGUUUUAAUUUGAUCACCCUGCAAUACAGGAACAUUUUAACUUUAAAAAGGCUUUUGAAGUUUGUAAUUUCCACUUUCAAAUUUCAAACUUGAUUUUCACUUAUGAAAAAUGUAUCAACCCCUACAUAAAUGUCCAUGAAUUAUAAUCCACAUAAUAAUUCACUUUUUCUGUUGCUGCAGGAUUAUUUUCCUGCUGUAGCAAACUGGCACAUACUACAUAUGUACAAACAAAUGCAUAACAACAGUUCAUAAAAUAUGUAUUGAGCCUCUAUGAGGCACAGAGGAAUUAGUUGUAUUUUUCCAUUUCACAUAAAAAGAAAGUGAGAGCUUGAGCAACAGGUCAAUGGGUCUAAUGAAUAGAUCUACUACCUUGAUAAAAGGUUGGAUUUGACAGAACUUUCAAGCCUGACACAUAGUACAGUUAGUGGACAAACCAUUAGGAACACCUUCCUAAUAUUGAGUUGCACCCCCUUUCGCCGUCAGAACAGCCUCAAUUCGUCUGGGUAUGGACUCUACAAGGUGUCGGAAGUGUUCCACAGGGAUGCUGGCCCAUGUUGACUCCAAUGCUUCCCACAGUUGUGUCAAGUUGGCUGGAUGUCCUUUGGGUGGUGAACCAUUCUUGAUACACACGGGAAAGUGUUGAGCAUGAAAGUUCUUGACACACUCUAACCAGUAUGCCUGGUACCUACUACCAUGUUCAAAGGCACUUAAAUAUUUUGUAUUGCCCAUUCACCCUCUGAAUGGUUCAAAUACACAAUCCAUGUCUCAAUUGUCUCAAGGCUUAACAAUCAUUCUUUAACCUUUCUCCUCCCUUUCAUCUACACUGAUGGAAGUGGAUUUAAUAAGGGAUCAUAGCUUUCGCCUGGAUUCACCUGGUCAGUCCAUGUCAUGGAAGGAGCAGGUGUUCCUAACAUUUGUGUAGUCAGUGUAUAUUUUAUAUACCACUAUACUGCCUUACCAUGCAAAAAGGCAGUAACUGCUAAUUUGGUCAAAAAUUGGUUAAUGUCAUUUUAUCUACAUUAAAUACAUGCUUAAUCAUGUGGACAAGUAUCCUGCCUCUAUUGUAUUGUGUUCUGGAGAAAAUGGGGGUCAUGUUAGCAGUAACUGCAUAAAGUUACUUUGAAACCAAGGUAAAUAAAAUACAUUUUUCUCAGUUCCACUCUAUGAGCAGUUACUGCCAUUUUGCUUGGUAGGGCAGUAUAGCUCCUAAAAUGUCUUGGUUUUACUCAAUAAUUGAUAUUUCUGUUGAAGUUGUCAUUGCACAAAAUUCUGUCUGGUGAGAUUUGGACAGCAUUCAACCGUUUUAAAUUGAAGCAUCAGAGAGCUGUUUUCAACUCUUCAAAACAGAUGGUUCUAUGCUGCAUUGUAGAGGAAAAUGGCAAUUGGUGAGUCAAGUGUGCUCGAAAGUCAUCACAUUUUAUGCUGAAUUGAUGUUGAUGUCUUUUUUUAGCAUGAAGGAGUUUGUAUUUCAGUUUAAACAGCUUCCUCAAUCAAGUUGAAUCACUCCUGCCAAGGUGUCUCAAAUGGCUUAUUGCUUAAUCAUGUGGAAGUGACAAUAGCCCAACCCUGUUCUCUCGCUCUCUUUCUCUCUCUCUCUGUUUCUCUCUCUCUCUGGCUGCCUUCUGCGUUUAGACAGGCAGCCCAAUUCUGAUCUUUUUUUCACUAAUUGGUCUUUUGACCAAUCAGAUCAAGAUCUGAAACAGAGCUGAUGUGAAAAGAUCAGAUGUGAUUGGUCAAAAGACCAAUUAGUGGAAAAAUAUCAAAAUUGGGCAGCCUGUGUAAAUUCUCUCUCUCUCUCUCUCUCUCUCUCUCUCUCUCUCCAUAUUUUCAUUUUUUUCUCUUGGUAAGUUUGGAGAAGCUAUUAAAGAAAUAGCAAAUGGCUUCUUAAGUGACAUUUGCUGACAUUCAAUGAAGUGCAUUUAUCAGUGUAGCACAGUUCACCUCGGUGAAUUAAAUCCAUUUGUGCUGGUGGGUCAGAGUGGUUCGCCACGCUCUCUCUCUCCCCCUUUAAAUUGAUGCCCAGCGAAUGGGAAAUGGCAAGGUGGCGCAUGGCUCUGCAGCUGCUCUCAAAUGUCACGCUGGAAAAUCUUUAAUGGGCUAAGUGUAGCCUUUCCGGCCUCAACUUGUCAGGUAAUCAGACGUCUCUGUAGCUCAUCUCCCCUCCCUCCCUCCCUCCCUCCUGCCCUCUCCCACAUCUCUCUGGCUCCCCCCGAGGCCUCGACACACUACUAAUUACCAGCAAUACCAAUUGAAGCGAGGGGGCCGUGAAACAGGUAGACUUCUUUUAAAGGAGAGAUAUUGGAGCCGCCAUCUCCAUGGAUGCAUAUUAUUAGCCUGGUUAUGUAUCUGUUUUAUCCAGAUGCUCCCUGUGUGGAAUCCUGGGGCUGUUGAUGGUGACUGAUAUUAAGGAGUGUUUUUAUUCUCUGCCUUGGAACUUUGUGAACCUGUUGCUCCUUUUCCCUGGGGAACUCUUAUGUGGUUGAGCAGGAAGAGCUGAUAGUGGCCUUGCUCACUAGAAUCAAUACAACUACAUAUUUAGAAAAAUGUAAGCCUCAAACUGACAUAGGGUCAUGUCUAAAGACAAAAGGACAUAGGGUCAUGUCUAAAGACAAACUAACACAGGGUUAUGUCUAAAGACAAAGUGACGUCAAAACUUGCAUAAUCGACUCCCGUCUGUGUAAUGUUUGUUCCUUAUAUAUUGACAAACCGGGGUGCAGGUUUAACUACUUUUAUUGAACAUAUUCUUCAGCUAGAAAACUCCAUGUUUAGCCAUGCAAGGCAUUCUUCAACCACCCGCCUAGCCUGCUGGGUAACGUAGUCUAAAUGUUAUUAACACAUAACAACACAUCUUCUUUCCUUUAAAAGAAAACUACUUUUCUAUGUAACUACACAUGUCACAUCACAUUUGUUUACUCAACCUGCAUAACAUGAAAUUUUCAAUAACACACAUUUCUUUCCCCCAAUUUUUUAAAUAUAUUUUUAUAUAUUAUUUUUUCAACUGAAUACAGUCUGUCCAACAAUACUCUAUUGUGGCUCUAUUUCUUUUCACAUAAACAAAACAUUCAGUCCAGGUGCCCCUUUUCUGUAUUUUUAUUUUAUUUUAUUUUUUAGCAAUUCUCAAUAAGCCUUUCAGGGGCUCUGACAGUCCUUUUUGGUCGUUCUGCUGAAGUGCUUCUUGAAACAGUUGGACAGCGUUCAUUGUCAGUCAGGGUGUUUUGACUGAAUUGUCCAUUUCUAAAGGCAUUUGACACUUCAGCAGUAUCCUCCUGAUGAUCCUCAGUCCCUUGAGUGUAUGGCUGAAGCCUUAGAUCCACUCUGUUUCGUCUCAGUUGGGAUCCAUGCUCUGUUUGGAUCUCAUAGGAUCCAAACAUAGGAUUCAUAGGAUUCUCUCUGCACACACCCUUGCGGCAUCCAGGUUCCUGUAGUGAUGUCUCGGAGUCGUACAUCUCCAGGUUUCAGUUCAGGUAAGUGUCUUGCACUUUUGUCGUGUCGCUGUUUUUGUUUGUCUUUCUGUUUUUCCUUCACGAGUUUGACUUUGUGAGCACCUCUGGGUGUUAGCAAGUCCUCAUGGAUGGGUAGGUUGGUUCUGAUGCGACGUCCCAUCAACAUUUGUGCAGGUGAAAGUCCAUUCUGCAGCGGUGCGCUGCGGUAGAUCAUCAGAUGUUUUAGGAAAUCCACCUUUCCAUCGAGUGCCUUUUUCAUCAGACCUUUGACAAUUUUGACUGAACUCUCUGCUAAGCCGUUGGACCUUGGGUAGUUGGGGCAGGAGGUGUUGUGUCGGAAUCCCCAGUCAUUAGCGAACGAUCGGAAUUCGGAACUUGAGAACUGCGGGCCAUUGUCCGAGUACAGUUCAGACGCAACCCCAUGUCUUGCAAAGACUGAUUCUAGGUAGGUGAUUACAGCUUUGCUGGAGGUAGUUGGCAGUGUUGCUACUUCAGGGUAGUUUGAGUAGUAGUCGGUAACAACAAUGUGACUUUUGCCAUUGCAGUCAAAAAGGUAAACUCCAACUUUGUAGUAGGGUCUGUUGGGUACUGGAUGAGGCAUUAGCGGCUCUGCUUGCUGCUUUGGCCUGUAGGUCAAACAUAGUUCACAUGAAGCAGUGGUCUGGCUGACUUCCUGGUUCAUUCUUGGCUAGUACAUUACUUCUCGUGCUCGUCGUUUGCAUUUUUCCUCACCCAAGUGGCCCUCAUGUAUUUUCUGUAGCAUUUCUUUGCGUAGUGUCAUGGGAAUGACAAUCUUGUUGCCUUUGAACACUAUGUCAUCCACAACGGUGAGCUCUGCUCUGCCCAUACAGUGAUCCUGUAUUCUCCUUGGACAGUUGUUUUUCUGUGCGGGCCAUCCUAUCAGUGUGUCAUUGUUUGGUCAGCUGCGGUCUCUCUUUUGAUCUGCUCCAUUCUCUCAGAAGACACAGGAAGUGAUGCUAUGAUCAUGUCGACGUAGGCCUGAAUCUCAGUGUUUUUAUGUGUGUCUAUGCUCUCCUUCUUGUCGACUGCUCGAGAAAGAGUGUCGGUGGCGAACAUGAACUUUCCCGGGGUAUAGAUCAUCUUCACAUCAUACUUUUGCAGUCUGAUCAACAUUCUCUGGAUUCUCAUUGGACAAUCAUUCAGUGGCUUAGACAUGAUUUGUGGUCGGUUUGUACUUCGAAGUCUCGUCCGUAGACGUAUUGGUGAAACCUUUCGCAAGCGUAUGUGCUCGCCAGUAGUUCUUUCUCUAUUUGUGCAUACCUUGUCUCUGCGCCUGUCAAGGCUCUGGACGCAUAAGCGACGGGUUGCCAUGUGUCGUCAUGCUGUUGCAGAAGAACUGCUCCCAGGCCAAACUGUGACGCGUCUGCAGAAAUCGUUGUGCUUUUCUAAGGAUCAUAGAACCUGAGCACUGGCUCUUCUAUGAUUGUCUUCUUUAGGUUUUUGAAGCAGUUUUCCUGUUCAUGGGACCAUUCCCAUUCAUUUUUCUGUUCCAGAAGACAUCUGAGUGGAGCGGACUGUGCUGACAGUUGAGGUAUGAACUUUGCAAUGUAGGUGAUCAUGCCCAUGAAGCGUCUAACAUCAUCCUUGUUCUUCGGGCACUCCAUGUUGUUGAUGGCUGAUGUUUUCCUCGGGUCUGGUUUGACUCCAUCCUCUGAAAGUACGUCUCCCACGAAGGUAAGUGUUUUCACACCAAACCCGCAUUUGUCCUUGUUUAGUUUUAGAUUGACUUUCCGUGUCAGGUCCAGCACUUGUCUCACUCUCGCAUCGUGUUCUUCUUUUGUGGACCCCCUGAUGAUGAUGUCAUCCAUCAUAGUCUCCACUCCUGGAAUGUGCUCGAAGAUCAUGUGGAUUGUCUUGUGGUAGACCUCUGGCGCUGAGAGAAUCCCAUAUGGUAGAUGAAGAAAUCUGUACCUGCCCUCAGGUGUGUUGAAUGUGCAUAGCCUUGAGCUUGCAUCUUCAAGCUUAAUUUGCCAGAAUCCUGAUGGGGCAUCAAGCUUACUGAACCACUUUGCUCCAGCAAACUGCGACAUUAUCUCUUCUCUGGUUGGCAACUUGAAAUGCUCUUUCUUGAUUGCUUUGUUGAGAUCUCUCUGGUCUAGACAUAUCCUGAGAUCGCCGUUCUUUUUCACCACAAUAACCAGUGAGCUUACCCAGUCUGUAGGUUCAUCCAUUUUUGUGAUGUCGUCCAUCUUUUCCAUGCGUCCGAGUUCCUCUUUGAGCUUUUUCCUCAGUGCAAAUUGAACUUUUCUGCAUGCAUGCACAACUGGAGUAAUUUUGUCAUUAGUACAUAUGUUGUGUUCUCCUGGUAAACAUCCAAGACCCUCAAACACGUCCUCAUACUCAGCCAGUAGUGAUUCUUGGUCAUUUUCAGUCUGGGAUGUCACUACAUACACUCUUUUCAACAAAUUGAGCUUUUCACAUGCAUUGAUUCCUAGAAAAGGCUGUACACUCUUUUCCACAAUCAGCAGCUGUGCUCUGAACUGUUUUCCUUUGUGCUGUAAAGUUACUAUGCAGCUACCUUUGACUGGUAUGUUCUCCCCAGUAUAACCAGUAACCUUAAUUUUCACCAGUGUAUUUUGCUCUUCACCUUCAGUGUUUUGUAGUCAUCCAGCGACAACAGGAUUACCUGUGCUCCAGUAUCAAGCUUGAAUGGUAUUAUAGUUUCAUUCACAGUCAAUGCCACAAUCCAUUCAGCAUUUACUGCAUUGCAUGUUUCCACAGAAUCAACAAAGAAUUCUUCAAUCUCCUUGACUGUGUGAACCUUUUUCUUUGUAGCCUCAGCUUUGCAGCAUUUUGAGAAAUGAUUAUUUUUCCCACAGUUGUUACAUGAUUUGCCAUAUGCAGGGCAUUUUUUGGGCUUGUGGAUAAAUCCACAUUUUCCACAUGUAGUGUUUUGAUUUCUCUCUUUUGCUUGUUUUUGUUUUGUAAGGCGUUGUAUGUGGUGCUCCUCUCUUUUUAUUGCAUGCACUGACGUCUCAUCCCUGCACAGCUCUUUAGCUUGUGCUCUGGUGGUUUCAGCUGCUCGACACAUAUUCACUGCUUUAUCCAAAGUUAAAUCUUGCUCAUGCAGCAAUCUCUCCUUGAGUCCAUUAUCAAGUAUGCCACAGACUAUCCUGUCUUUCACUAGUGAGUCUUUCAGAUUUUCAAAUUCACCCGUUUUGCUCAGUGUGUUCAGCUCAGCCAAAUACUAGUCAAAACUGACUCCCUGUUUCUGAUCAUGAGAGAAAAACUUGUAUCUCUCAAACGGGACGUUCUGGCUUGGUACAAAAUACUCCUCAAAUUUAGCCAUUAGCACAGUCAAUGUAAAGUUUGCCUCGUCUUGCUGAAAGCUAUUGUAAAUGUCUAAUGCAUCCUCUGCAAUAACAUGCAGAAAAAUGGAAGCUUUCAAUUUGUCAUCAUCUCCCCCUGCACCACUAGCUGCUAGGUAGAUAUUGAAUCUCUGCUUGAAACGUUUCCAAUUGUCAGCUAAAUUGCCUGUUAACUGCAUAGGAGUAGGAGGACUAAGCCUAUCCAUGACGGAGAACAGGAACAGUGUCAAUUUCUCUUACUUCAGUAUGUUGGUCAUCAACUUGCUCGUCAACAUAUUCCAAUGCAGACUAGCUCACGCUGCUGUCACUCUCGCUGCUGCGGCUCGUUGCCCUCUCUCUUGCAAGCUAGCAUCUUCAACUACUCACGUCACUUAACUUGUGGUAGAAUGUUACAUUUUCGUCACGGAAAUUUGCAGUUACACCUUUCUUUUCUCUGUCUCGUCAUAGCGACUACCAAUCUGACACCAUGUUAUGUUUGUUCCUUUAUAUAAUGACAAACCGGGGCGUAGGUUUAACUACUUUUAAUGAACAAAUACUUCAGCUAGAAAACUCCAUGUUUAGCCAUGCAAGGCAUUCUUCAACCACCCGCCUAGCCUGCUGGGUAACGUAAUCUAAAUGUUAUUAACACAUGACAACACAGUCUGGGAGAUUUUUUGCAUUUUAGCUAACCCUUUUCCUAACAUUGACCUUAUUCUCCUAACCUGCUAUGUUAAUUCUCCUAACCCGCUGUGUAAAUUCUCCUAUUCUGUUACGAAAUGUCACUUCUGACAUCUAGGUGAAACCCCUGACAUAGAGGGCCCACAGGGGAAGAACAGUCACUAGCUCAGUAAUCCACAGAGCGCUUUGUACUACCACAAUGGCCAGGUCAUGGAAGCGGGAGGAGGAGACACUAAGAGCCAUUGUUGAGGAGGUGGAGGGAAGUGGUACCUAUCGCCCCCAGUCCCCCAGCCCCAUUCAGGAUGAGUUAAUCACGUUAUUAUACGAGGGACAUGUACAGCAGUGAAAAAGGUGACGGUGUCAGGGUGGGGAUGAGGCAGAGUGCUCCAGGGGGGCCUUUAUUGAUAUAGAUUUGCCUUUUAUUGAUAAGCAGGUCUUGUAUGUAUGUAUAGGAAGAUGGACUUACAUACAAAUACUUCAGAAUAGAUAUUUUGGAUCAGACAGUAUUUUCUUGUAAUAGUUCCAUUUCCAGAGUACUCUAGCAGUACCCAAGGGUGGUGGUGUUCUCUCUCUCUUUUUCUCCUCCUCCUCUUUCUCUCUCUCCCUCUCAGUGAUGGAGUGUGGGAUAAGGGCGGUAGCGGUCUCUUCCUCAGUGAUGUGGAUGCUGUCAGGGCAACAUACACAUAGCAGAGUGAAACACAUCUCAAGGGGAGGAGACCAGGAAGAGCUAUGUCUGGGCUAUUAGGAUAUCUGAGCUGCUCAUUCUUUCCACAGAAGACGUCCUCGCCUCUCCAAAGACUGCCUGUCGGAAAAGUGCAUUUCUGUGUAAAAGCCAGGAGGUGUGAGUGUGGAUGUUUUUUCUCUCUUCAUCCAUGCAGACUCGGCCGGCGGCUAUGGUACUGACAGAGAGCCAAAGUGAGCAUGUCUGAGAAUCUGUCGGCGUUAUGAUAUGGCAUGAAAAUAAACUGCCUGGCUGUCUUGUCUCUGGCUCACGUGUAACACACAAAAUAAAAUAAUGUUUCAUACUGCAAGG
rnacentral:lncRNA from 1 species